rnacentral:lncRNA from 1 species
CUUUGAGCAUAUGUCAUGCAUCAUAAGAUUAUAGUAGGAUGUUUGCAUUAGUUUCACGAAGAUGACGCAUUGCAUAAUACGAUGUAUAUGAGGCUGUGGAUAGACCAAGGCGACUCCAAUAGCCCAAGCUCUGUUAUAAGACCUGGCCGGGCUAGGCAGCCAUCUGUAGGUAAGACCUGACUAGAGCAGGCAGCAGAGAUAGUAAGACCUGGCUGGGCCAGGCAGGCAGAGUUGUAAGACCUGGCCGGGCCAGGCAGAUUGAGGUUGUAAGACCUGGCUAGGCCAGGCAUCCUUUCAG